ACUGGGAAGGACAACGCGACAGGUCAGAGCCGUGUACUGUGCGUCGUCUCCACCGGAUUUGGGUUUUGGAAGGGACUUAAGUCACAGAAUGGAAUAGGAAGACGGGGUUUAAACACGUCCUGUAUCUGAAUGCCAGUUUUCCAUUCCCUUAAACACAAGAUCUGGGAAAACGUAUCCGAAGCCAGAAAAGUCCUGACCCGAGUUAAAAAAAAUGCUGGCUGUACCCGGGACAGAGCUACGCUGGGCCCAGUGGUCCUGCCACUGAACCCGAAGGAGGCUGCCCUUGGGAGUUUUUGUUUCUUACAUCUUGGAAUCCUGGUCAUAAAGGAGCGGGGACUUGGCAGGGGCACCACUGCCCAUGCCGGUGCCUGGUGAGUGCCCAUCCCGCCAGGCCCUUCCUCCCCAUAAAGCCAUCGUUGACCUUCUGACUUUCUAAUCGCAGUGCUCACCAGGUAGGAAACAGGACUCCUCAGGAUCCAGACUCUGACUUCCAACUCACCAUUUAUGGGGCUGGGACAUACUUGUGCCACAGGGCAGAGACGAGUGCCCAGGACAGGUGCCAUUCAGCAGCAUGUCACAUGGGCGAGGGUGGGGAGGGCCUGCCGGCUCAGUCCCUCAGUUACACGCCCAGUUCCCUCCCCCCUCACCAGGUGUGUGCUGUGCACCUACCAGUGCUGGGCCAGGCACGUUCCCCAGAACACUGAGCCGUAAGUGAGGGACGAGGGUCCCUGCUCCAUGGAUCUAUCGCGUUGGGUCUCCUCCCUCCCAUGUAGCCACACGUGGAGCCAGCCCUGUGCAGCCCCCACCCCUCAGCUCCCGGGGCCUGGAGGGCCCUUGGAAGGGCUGAGCCCGGGACCUCCUGCGGGGGCCGCCACAUGUCCCCGAGCAAGCCGUGGGACUGUCCAAGACCAACGUGACGGGGAGCUGUUCCGGGCACGGGAUGUGACAAGCACGGGCCCCGCUUGAGCCAGUGAAGGACAUGAGGGUGUCUCAGACCACCAGAAACCACGGCACGAAGGUCGGAAGGGCUUGCACACUUUGCUGUUAGCAGCAGCCCGGGACGGGAACAAGAAAGGCAGCUCUGGAAAACCAACUAUGAAACCAGAGAAGACGCCCCUCGCUGGGCUGGCUCCCGCCACUGGAUUUCGGACCAGGCGGUGUGGUCACAGAUCAAGGACAUCCCCAAGGCGACCCGAGGCGGUAUAGCGUGUGCUAGGGGACUCCCAGGCAGGACUUCUCCUAGGACCACCUGGGACCACCAUCCCAGGGGCUGAUCACGGCCCCACAGGGUCCCUGUCAAUUAUAGGUGAACAGGUGAGUUUCCAAAUCGCUUCCGGGGCCCAGAUCCUCACGACGGCAGGAACCAUGCCCUUCACCCCCAUCCCUGCCUUGGGGGCGAGGUGGGGUGGGAACUGGGUCUUUUGUGCUUUACCAGGUCCCAGUCGAUGCUGCGAAAGAAUGCAUGAGACUUGAUAUCGGAAAAUCCAGUCUGUGGCCGGCAGCCGAGCCUCUCUUUGGGGUCCUAGGGGUCAGAGAUCAAAUAAGGACAUGUCAGCAUUGAGCAAAGAAGCCCCAAGUCAUGGCAAGAGAAAACCAGCUUUCCUUCCCUCCAGGAUAGAAAGAGCUUCCUCGAAUCAUCUCCAGCCAGUCUUAACCAGCCCGGUGAUGAGCAGACAUUCCCUUCACUAAAAAUUCUACCCCUAACACCGGAGGCUUCGUUAAAUUUCUCUUUGGCAUGA